AUCAAUACUUAUGAGUACUUGGGCAUUGGUCCUUAGUUUUCUUUCUACUUCAUUUAAAGUUUUUCCUGGCCAGCUGUGGCCUACUGUGGUCCAAGAGCUUUGGUUCCAGUAUUUUCUAAUUUAACGUUCUUUUGAUAAGAUUAUACUUUAGAGGUACAAUCUUAGAAAAGUGGCUGUUGCCACUAAUAUCUCUGAUUUCUGCGGAGCAGCAUCUUCCCACUCUCCUCCUAUGAGCACCCCGAGUAACUUUGUUUCACUUUCUUCCAGGGGGUUUCCUAGAUCUGUGGCCAGGAAUCGAGAGAAUAAGUCUUUUCUUUAACUCAACCACUCAAAAACUUCCAAUCUCUGUCUCAUCCAUUUUUUAGAUGUCCAAAAGAGAUGAAAAGUAGUUUCCUUUCCACCACCACAGAAGCGACAGAUCAUCUUAAAUCUACUAUAAAUUUUACCUGUGGCUUCAGGUAGCCUUUAUUUUAUGUAAUAAUGGCCCAAAAGCGCAAGACUAGUGAUGCUGGCAAUUCAGAUAUGCCAAAGAGAAGCCGUAAUGUGCUUCCUUUAAGUGAAAAGAUGAAAGUUCUCGACUUGAUAAGGAAAGAAAAAAAAUCAUAUGCUGAAGUUGCUAAGAUGUAUGAGAAGAAUGAAUCUUCUAUCCGUGAAAUUGUGAAAAAGGAAAAAGAAAUCCGUGCUAGUUUUGCCAUCGCACCUCAAACUGCUAAAGUUACGGCCACGGUGCGUAAUAAGUGCUUAGUUAAGAUGGAAAAAGCAUUAAAUUUGUGGGUGGAAGACAUGAACAGAAAAUGUGUUUCAAUUGACGGUAACAUGUUGCGUCAGAAAGCAUUAAGACUAUAUGAAGAUUUUAGCAAGGGAUCCCCUGAAAUGAGUGACACCAAGCCAUUUACUGCAAGUAAGGGAUGGUUACACAGAUUCAGGAAUAGGUUUGGACUGAAAACUAUAAAAAUUAUUGGGGAGGAUAAGUCUGCAUGUGAAGAAGCUGCGACCACAUUUCCAGGAGAAUUGAAGAAGUUGAUUAAGGAGGAAUUGGAAGAACUUGUUCAGUCACCUACAGAGGAGGAGGAAGAUGAAGAAGAAAUUGAAGCAGAACCAGCAAUGUGGAAAUUCGAAACACUUCGGCAAGUUUCUGUACAGAGUAGUGGUGCUGGCAAUUCAGACAUGCCAAAGAGAAACCGUAAUGUGCUUCCUUUAAGUGAAAAGGUGAAAGUUCUUGACUUGAUAAGGAAAGAAAAAAAAUCAUAUGCUGAAGUUGCUAAGAUCUACAGGAAGAACGAAUCUUCUAUUCGUGAAAUUGUGAAAAAGGAAAAAGAAAUCCGUGCUAGUUUUGCCAUCGCACCUCAAACUGCUAAAGUUACGGCCACAGCGCGUGAUAAGUGCUUAGUUAAGAUGGAAAAAGCAUUAAAUUUGUGGGUGGAAGACAUGAACAGAAAAUGUGUUCCAACUGACGGUAACAUGUUGCGUCAGAAAGCAUUGAGCUUAUAUGAAGACUUCAGCAAGGAAUCCCCUGGAAUGAGUGACACCAAGCCAUUUACUGCAAGUAAGGGGUGGUUACACAGAUUCAGGAAUAGGUUUGGACUUAAAACUAGAAAAAAUACUGGAGAGGCUGCAUCUGCUGAUGAAGAAGCUGCUUCCACAAUUCCAGGAGAGAUGAAGAAGUUGAUUAAAGAGGAAUUGCAAGAAUUUAAGUCUUCUACAGAGGAAGAUGAAGCAGAACCAGCAAUGUGGACAUUACAGAAACUUGACGAAGUGUUUCGAAUUGCACAAACGUUAAAGGACAAAGUUAUGGAAUAUGAUCCUCGGAUGGAACGCAGCAUUAAAGUCAACUGUAUGAUCACCAAAGGAUUACAACCACUGCAGCAACAUUUUGAUGAGUUAAACAGAAACAGACAACAACUUCCAAUGACAAUGCUUUUCCAAAAGGUUUUGGCAAAAAACCCUUCAGCUAUUGAGGAUCUCCAACCAUCAUCAUCACUUGAUGAUCCAGGAUCACCUAAAGCAGAUGAUCUUCCUCCUGUCGUAUCAUCAGAAGGUCAAAAGUAGCAUAACACUACUUCGCAACACCUACGUCAUUCGCCUCACUUUACCUCAUCACGUAGGCAUUAUAUCAUCAUCACAAGACCGAAGAAGGGCAGAUGUUGAACAGAAGAAGAAGCGUACUUUCAGGAAAUUCACUUAGAGGUGUGGACCUGGACCAGCUUCUGGACAUGUCUUACUAAGUUGCUCUAUGGCUGCCAUCACUGGUUAGUGAGUUUUAGCAGGAGGAAUAAUUG